CCUACGGGAGGCAGCAGUGGGGAAUAUUGCACAAUGGGGGAAACCCUGAUGCAGCGACGCCGCGUGAGUGAAGAAGGCUUUCGGUUUGUAAAGCUCUAUCAGCAGGGAAGAAAAUGACGGUACCUGACUAAGAAGCACCGGCUAACUACGUGCCAGCAGCCGCGGUAUUACGUAGGGGGCAAGCGUUAGCCGGAUUUACUGGGUGUAAAGGGAGCGUAGACGGCUGAGCAAGUCUGAAGUGAAAGCCCGCGGCUCAACCGCGGGACUGCAUUUGAAACUGCCCGGCUAGAGUGCUGGAGAGGUGAGCGGAAUUCCUAGUGUAGCGGUGAAAUGCGUAGAUAUUAGGAGGAACACCAGUGGCGAAGGCGGCUUACUGGACAGUAACUGACGUUGAGGCUCGAAAGCGUGGGGAGCAAACAGGAUUAGAUACCCGAGUAGUC
rnacentral:rRNA from 1 species